rnacentral:rRNA from 1 species
AUCCAGCCAGUGGAGUAAGACCCCUGGUAGACUACCAGGUAGAUAGGCCGGGCGUGCAAGCACAGCAAUGUGUUCAGCGGACCGGUACUAAUAGGUCGAGGGCUUGACCA